UGUAUUUACAAACAAUUGGAUGCCCAAUUUCUACCAAUUAAUCAAACCUACUCGAUACCAAAACGUAAAGGGGGCACCCUUAGUAUCAAUUUGAUUUGUCUGAAAUUCGUAAACCAAAACCCUAGUUUUUCAAUUGGAUUGAAUUUGCCCGCUUUUUCUUGUUGAAUUCUCACUACCAAUCAACAAUGGCGGACGCUUUCUGGAGGUACGGUGAUAACAGGCAGCCGGCGGUGUCGCUUCCAGCUCAGAUGGCUGCGAAACGGACUCGAUCCGAGUUUGAGAUGCCAAGUGGACAAGACACAUCAAGAUACUAUACUCCCGGCAAUGAAAGGCCAGGAAAUGUUGUCUCUAGAGAUACUGACUCUGUCAAUGCAUCAUAUGAACGCUACUUGCGUAGUUUGCAAGUUCCAUCAUACGGUGGUCAAACUGGAAGACCCGGUACUGGUGGGCUUGAUGGUGUUGACGAAAUUGAUGAUCUUAGGGUCCUAGGAAUGGUACAAUCAGGCCCAGCAGCUGCUCCACAAAGCCGGUUAAUGGGAGUGGGUGGACGACCUGAAAUUUCACUCCCUCCUGAUGCUAGCAGCACAUUGUUCGUGGAGGGAUUGCCUGCGAACUGUACUCGCAGAGAAGUGUCUCACAUAUUCCGCCCUUUUGUGGGCUACAAGGAAGUAAGGCUUGUAAACAAGGCACCAAGAAAUCCUGGGGGGGAUCCUGUGGUGCUUUGCUUUGUUGAUUUUGAGAGUCCAGCUCACGCGGCAACAGCAAUGGAUGCUCUGCAAGGUUACAUAUUUGAUGAGCACGAGCGGGAUUCAGGCCACUUAAGGGUUCAAUUUGCCCGCAAUCCUCCUGGUCCAAGGUUAGGUGGUGGGCAUCGUGGUAACCGUUGAGAUUGGUUUGACAGGUAUUAGAAUCAAAAUAUAAAACAAAACAAAAAUUGCUAGCGUGGACUAUCGGAGAUCGGUGCUUACACAUGGUGCUCACAAGAAAAUGGACCCCCCAAAAUCCAGCCCUCCAGAAUAAACAUAACCACACAAAACCUUAAGAGUUAAAUGAUGUACGAGCAUCUGUGUUGUACGCGGGGCCUGCCAUUUGGUUGGACACUAUAUAGUAUCUUGCUUGUUUGUGGCAGAAUGAUGCGCUCUCCCACAGCAUUUCCACUAGAGGACUGUAUUUAAACAAAAUGGUCUCCACUCUCCUGAGCUCAUGGAACAAAGACAUUAUCAAUGGAUGCAGCCAAAGGUAGAUAAAGAAAACAGUUAUUUGUGAGCAAAUAAAUGAGGGGACGAGGAUAAACAAAUUUAGGUGAAAGAGGUUCCUUUUGAAGAACGACACUUGUGCUAUGUUCCGAAGGCAGAUAAAGAAAAACAGUUAUUUAGAGCAAAUAAAUGAGGGGACGAGGACAAAUUUAGGUGAAAGAGGUUCCUUUGAGGAACGGCACUUGUGCUAUGUUGCAUUGUAGUUUUCUGUGCUGAAUCGCAUUCACUUUGAUACUAAUAUAUACGAGCCUAGUAACUGAAUGACGUGAUCUUGUCGUAAGCACCAUGUCUAAAGCCAGAUUGCUGGUUUAACAGAAUCGGAAAUGGUGCUUGUACAUAACCAGCGUGUACAUUAUUUUGGCCUCUUUGUAUAAAGUUGUAGAGUCUGGCCGGUGCGUCUCCAUUUUCUGGGAGACAGCACUAUGUGAAGCUUCCAUUUAGGUGUUGCGUUUUGAUGCCUUGAUGUGAAGGUGCAAAUUUGUACUUGUUUCUUUUAUGUUGCCAGCUACCUUUUAGGUUUCAUUUCCAUGUGUGAAAAGAGAUUUAGCUCAUUUCUGUAUAAUAUUAAAUCUCCAGUUAAA